rnacentral:lncRNA from 1 species
GAUGAUAAUGGCGGGAAAAUUGUUAGGGGAAGAAGAGAGAUGAAAUCGCGCAAUAGAUCGUUGCGCAGGAUCAGAUCUAUGUCGCCGUUGAGGACCACAUCCGAAUCCUUUCCAAAAAACGAGGAGAAAAUUGAUGACACGAUGGCGCCUGAAGAGGAUGCGCCGCCGUCUGGUUCAUCCUCGCGGUCGUCUUCGGUGGGGCGGAACUCGAAGAGGUGGGUCUCAUUGAAGGAGUUUCUGUACAGAAGCAAAAGUGAGGGACGGAACAAUGGGCGCCACAAGUACUUCUGGUCAUCUCUUUCAUUUUCCCCUGUUGUUAAAGAAAAGGAUAAAAAGACGGCGGCGCCACCUCCUCCGGUGCCGGCGGUAUCAUCGGAGAAAGGGAAGGCGCCGGAGUCCGGGGAUGGGGAAAACGUGG